rnacentral:rRNA from 1 species
UCUACGGGGCGCAGCAGUGGGGAAUAUUGGACAAUGGGCGAAAGCCUGAUCCAGCCAUGCCGCGUGUGUGAAGAAGGCCUUCGGGUUGUAAAGCACUUUCAGUGGGGAAGAAAGCCUUGGGGCUAAUACCCUCGAGGAAGGACAUCACCCACAGAAGAAGCACCGGCUAACUCCGUGCCAGCAGCCGCGGUAAUACGGAGGGUGCGAGCGUUAAUCGGAAUUACUGGGCGUAAAGCGCGCGUAGGCGGUCUGAUAAGCCGGUUGUGAAAGCCCCGGGCUCAACCUGGGAACGGCAUCCGGAACUGUCAGGCUAGAGUGCAGGAGAGGAAGGUAGAAUUCCCGGUGUAGCGGUGAAAUGCGUAGAGAUCGGGAGGAAUACCAGUGGCGAAGGCGGCCUUCUGGACUGACACUGACGCUGAGGUGCGAAAGCGUGGGUAGCAAACAGGAUUAGAUACCCUGGUAGUC